UGGGGAAUAUUGGACAAUGGGCGAAAGCCUGAUCCAGCCAUGCCGCGUGUGUGAAGAAGGUCUUCGGAUUGUAAAGCACUUUAAGUUGGGAGGAAGGGCAGUUACCUAAUACGUAUCUGUUUUGACGUUACCGACAGAAUAAGCACCGGCUAACUCUGUGCCAGCAGCCGCGGUAAUACAGAGGGUGCAAGCGUUAAUCGGAAUUACUGGGCGUAAAGCGCGCGUAGGUGGUUUGUUAAGUUGGAUGUGAAAUCCCCGGGCUCAACCUGGGAACUGCAUCCAAAACUGGCAAGCUAGAGUAUGGUAGAGGGUGGUGGAAUUUCCUGUGUAGCGGUGAAAUGCGUAGAUAUAGGAAGGAACACCAGUGGCGAAGGCGACCACCUGGACUGAUACUGACACUGAGGUGCGAAAGCGUGGGGAGCAAACAGGAUUAGAUACCCAUGUAGUCCCUGAGCGGGCUGGCAAGGCGCAU
rnacentral:rRNA from 1 species